rnacentral:lncRNA from 1 species
AGUGAAGGAGCAAAGGGGACUCGGCCGCCAUGUUAGGAGUACUGGGACGAUUCCGCGGAGCCGGGCAGAGGUUUUAGGGGUGCGCAGGAGUCAAGUGGUGGUUCAGUGGGGACGGAAUGAUUAACAAAGGCGUCCGAAGAAAUCGUUGUUGGAAGGUGACCAAGGUGGAAAGAGACGUUGCUUUGGCCCUGCAAGUAAGAAGAGAGAGGGAAUAGCCUGAAGGAGUAACACUAAAUUUAAAAUGACACUUUUUUACCAACCAGCGAAAGCAGAUGUUCAAAGGGGAUAUUGGCCAGAGUCUGUCACACUAAGAUGAGAAAUGUCCUUUCUUCCUGAAGGUGUCUGAUGUGUAAAAAUAUGAUAUACUUUGUGCUGUUUCCUCCCUUCCCUUUUGCAUAUUAUUCUGAAACAACAUUAACUAGUUACUUUGCGUCAUUGAAGGUAUGCACUUCCCCUCUAUGUUAGGAGUGAAUAAAAUUAAAAAUAGAUCCUUAUAACAAAGAAAGGCAGAUAGAAUGAUUAAAAAUGACCAAAACAUGUUAGAAACAGUCUCUCAGGUGUAUGCAGAUGGUAAUUACAAAAAUACUUUUUCAAAAAAUGAUCUUCUGUGUCAUGUUUCUGGGAACAAGUCAAGAUGAAUGAGUUUGAUUUUUAAGCAGAAGUAGUAUGUGUUGGUGUCAUCCAUGAAUACAACAAUGAAAAAGGCUCAAAGUUGUUGUUAUUCAGAAACUUCUCUAAGUAAUGGUGGUAAGUACAGGAAAAGGAGCAAUGUCUACCAUUUUCUUUCUAACCUUCGAUUUAACUAUUGUAAUGUUGUAAGCUUAACAGAGACUUACACUUAGGCUUAAUUUCAAGCUCUUCAAUCAUUUUUCCCGGUUGGUGAUUCAGGUGUAUUCUCAUGUCUUAUGUAAACUUAUCAUGAGUGUUGUUGAUUUAUAAUAUAUUUCUUUAUGUAAGCCAUAGCCUUGUCAGUUUGAGUUAUAUGGAAGACAAAUUGUAGGGAAAAAGAGCAACAGAUUACUCAGAAACCUUCUGUGUGAGCUGGGCAUAGUAGUGCAUGCCAGUAGGCUUAGCUACUUGGGAGGCUGAGGCAGGAGGAUCACUUGAUCCCAUUAGUUUGAGGCUGCAGUGAGCUAUGAUUGUGUCACUGUACUCCAAUCUGGACAACAGUGAGACUAUGUCUGUUUUUAAAAAAGAAAGAAAGCUUGUGUUUGAGAAGUGAUACCUCUAGAAUACAGUGAUUUCUAUAAUUUGUCAUGUGUUUGGGUAGUUUGAAGUUUUUCUAUCCUUGUAUCUAAUGGACAUCUGACCAUAAAGAUGAAAAAAUCCUGCACUCAUUAUAAAUUUUAUUUAUAAAAUUGAUAUUUGAGGAGUUGGGGAGGCCAGCUUCUGAAAAAAUAACAGUGUCCCAUAGAAACACCACAACUUAGGAAAAUAUUGUUAAAGUGGAAUUAGGAAUAUCUAGAGGAGGUAAAGCUUUUCAUCUCUCAAAAAAGAAUUAGGGCCAGGCACAGUGGCUGACACCUGUAAUCCUAGCACUUUGGGAGGCCGAGAUGGGCACAUCACUUGGGGCCAGGAGUUCAAGACCAGCCUGGCCAACAUGGCGAAACCCCAUCUCCAAGAAAUAGAAAAGUUAGCCAGGUGUGGUGGCGUGCGCCUGUAAUACCAGCUACUAGGGUGGCUGAGGCAGGAGAAUCGCUUGAACUGGGGAGGUGGAGGUGGCAGUGAGCAGAGAUUGAGCCACUGUACUCCAGCCUGGGCAACAGCAAGACCCUAUCUCAAAAAAAUAAUAAAGAGAAUUAGGACAUGGAUUUGUAUUAAAAUUAUAGGUAGCUCAUUUAAGAGUAUGAAGCCAAUUGCUGUUAGAGCAAGGGUUUUUUUCAGUAGAGGUGUCAGGAUAACCUAUACAGCUCUAAAAGUAUAUGGCUGUUACCUUCCCAUCCCUGUUGAAAUCUCCAGGGUUAGAACCAAGUAUUGUGUUUUUAAAACUAUAGGUGAGUCUACAAGAGUUGGGUGGAGUAGUCCUCUACAUCCUGUGUUUGUAUUUUUGCAGUAAGUCACACAAUAACAAAAGCUUUGAGAAAGAUUUUAGGUUUAUUGCUAAUUAUACCCAUGAAUGAAUUCUGAAAAUGUGUAGAUAAGGAAUUUACCUGGUGAACGGUUUACACAUGGCAAUUGUGGGAGGGAGAGGGGAGUGAGAGGAGAUGAGAUCAGUUUUAGCUUUAAGAGGACCAACCGGGCCAAGCACGGUGGCUCACGCCUGUAAUCCCAGCACUUUGGGGCCGAGGUGGGUGGAUCACGAGGUCAGCAGUUCAAGACCAGCCUGACCAACAUGGUGAAACCCCGUCUCUACUAAACAUACAAAAAAUUAACUGAGUGUGGUGGCGGGUGCCUGUAAUCCCAGCGACUUGGGAGGCUGAGGCAGGAGAAUCGCUUGAAACUGGAAGGCGGAGGUUGCAGUGAUCCGAGAUUGUGCUAAUGCACUCUAGCCCGGGCAAUAACAGCAAAACUCCCGUUUAAAAAAAAAAAAAAAAAAGGGACCAACCAUGAUAUCCUGACUAACCUGUAUAUUUCUUAGAAUGAGGGUUUAGCCUAAUAUUAAGAAAGUCUAAUGUUAAGAGACACCUAGUAAGAGCUCAACGCUGUGGUAAAAUUAUGAUAGUUAUGCAGAAACUUAAAAGCUGAAGUAUCCAGAGACAAUAUAUUGUUUAGAAUUUUCUGAAAAUAAAAAUUUUCUUGCCCUAAGUCUUGAAUUUUUAAGUUAUUGAUGUUAAUAUUUAUGAUCUUUGAACAAAUGAUAUUAUAAUAGAGUAUCUUUUAGGUCACAGAGACCCCUUUUUAGAGCUGAGAAAUCUUACAAAUUCCUCAGCCCAUGUUUUACAGAUAAGGAAAUGGGCAUGCACACAGUGAAAUUAAAAAUUGCUAGUGGUCACACUGUACAUUGAUGGCAAAGGCAGGGCAGAAUUAGAAUCCAAUUAUCUUACCUGUUCAGUGUCUUUAAUGAUACAGCAAGCUCACCACUGUUUCUCUUUACUCUUUAAACAGUGGAUUUUUUUUGUCAUGAUUUUGAUUUCUUGUAUAAUGCAGUUCAAUACUUGUUUAAUUUUAAUGUUGGACUCUCAAUUUUUAAGACAGUAGUACACAUGAAAUGUGCUUUAUAUUUUAUGUUUCAACAAGAAAAUACACAUUUUCCUUUUAAUAGAGGAGCUUAAGUUCCUAAUUUAAAUAAUUGAGUAUGAGCUUCAGAUACUUCAGAGUGGUAUUAAUAAACUUUGCUUUUCCAAAUGGUUUCAGAUAAGCAUUUAAUAUUCAAAGCUUCCUCUUUACAGCUUAGGAAGUGGUCUGGUUAAGUGACUUGAGUUCAUACAGGAAUAUAUCGGUAUGUUCCUAAUUCCCAUCAAGUGUACCAUUAUGUAAUCAUAUAAUCUUGCUAACAGAUCUAACAGAUUACUUUUUUUUUUUUUUUUUUUUUGAGACAGAGCCUUGCUCUGUCGCCCAGGCUGGAGUGCAGUGGCGCGAUCUCUACUCACUGUAACCUCCGCCUCCCAGGUUCAAGCAAUUCUUCUGCCUCGGCCUCCCAAGUAGCUGGGACUACAGGCAGGCACUACCACACCCGGCUAAUUUUUGUAUGUUUAGUAGAGACGGGGUUUCACCAUGUUGGCCAGGCUGGUCUGGAACUCUUGACCUCAAGUGAUCCGUCUGCCUCUGCCUCCCAAAGUGCUGGGAUUAUAGGAGUGAGCCACUAUGCCUGUCCUCUAGGGAAAAUCUUUAAUUCAUUCUGGACAAUGAGAAAACUUUUAUUUUUACUUUUAGUUAACAAUACUCAGGAAAAUAAAAAGUGUGCUUUUUAAUCUUAGUAACCCAAUUUGAGUUUGAAACAAAUUUACAUAAUUUUAGCUGCUUAAUAUGCUGCUGAAGAUAAAUGCAGUAAAUAUCCCAAGGUCAAGAUUUGAAAUCCAAAUGUCCAUAGUAAUGAUUAACAGGAAAAGAGAGUCCUCUGUUAACUUUAUUUCUCAAUUUUUUACAGGUUUGGAUAAUUAAGGGAGCACUAGAAAACUUUUUUUUUUUUUUUUGAGAUGGAGUCUGUUGCCCAGGCUGGAGUACAGUGGUACGGUCUCGACUCACUGCAAUCUCCGCUCCUGGGUUCAAGUGAUUUCUCUUGCCUCAGUCUCCUGACUAGCUGGGAUUUACAGGCGCAUGCCACCAUGCCCAGCUAAUUUUUGUAUUUUUAUUAGAGACGGGUUUCAUCAUGUUGGUCAGGCUGGUCUCAAACUCCUGACCUCGUGAUCCACCCGCCUCGGCCUCCCAAAGUGCUGGGAUUACAGGUGUGAGCCACCGUGCCCAGCCGAAAAUGUUUCUUUGCAAGGAUAAAUAUAUGAAGAUAAACUUGCCGAGCGUAAAUAUGUUCAUGAAUAUAGCCACUUAAGGAAAUUCAAACAUGCAGAGAUGUUCAGCUGUAUGCAGUUAUGUAUUCAUGAAGUAUUCAUGUAUUCAUGAAGCCUUAUUUGAUGUAGAAUCUGAGGGUGCUGCCUAUACAUAAACUUGCUUAAAGGUUAAAACUUAAGGAAUGUUCAUCAAAGUCACUUUCUUACACCUAACUCCUGAUUUCAUGAAUAUAACACAUAGGUGCUUAUCAAACUGAAUACCUUGGAGAUGAGCUGCUCCAGCACCAGAAGAUAAAAUUCAGUAACUGUAAUCCUUGAGGUACCUAAGUGAUACAUUUUUUUUAAGACUGAGCCAAAAUAAAACAGCUUUCCUCCUUCCCUACCCUCUCCGACCAAACUUUUAGCCAUUUUAUUUAUUUAUUUAUUUGAGAUGGGGUCUAGCCAUGUGGAGUGCAGUGGCUAUUCACAAGCAUGAUCAUAGCAAAUGACAGCCACAGACUCCUGGGUUCGAGCAAUCCUGCCUCAGCCACUCAAGUAACUAGGACUACAGGCGUAUACUGGGGCUUCUAGCCAUUUAUAUGGUAUUAAGUGACAGCUUCUAUAGUUACUUGGUACUUGUCCCUGUAAAACUGCACAGUGUGUAUUCUCUUGGCUCAAUUAUUAGCAUAUUCUGCCAUUUCCUUGUGAAUGUUUUGUAUUUUAUAUAGGAAAACUUAAGUUUUUAAAUAUCCUGAAAUAACUGAAGAAUUUUGUUUUUGCCUUUAAGUGGUAAUGUAUAAAGUAUACUAUUGCAGAGAUACUUACAGAGUGCUUUCAUUGCAAUUAAAAUACUGCAGCUAACUAGCAUGUUCCAUAUGUGUAAUCUAAAUGACAUACUGGUCAUGUGCUAUUUCUAUGGAAUACUAACAGUAGUAUGGUACAUUUAUGCAGUCUCAACAGUUUAAAGUGUUAUUUUGGUGAUAAACUGUUUACAUUUAUUUGUUUUUAUAUUUGGCAGUCUAAAUGCAAGAGUCUCCAUUUCAGCUCUUUACUCUGCAUAUCUUUAAUGUUGGGCAUUAUGCCUCUUUCUUGAGUUUCAGUCCUAUGACUGUUCCAUUUUCAGUAUUCAUGUUUAUGUGUCUUUCUAAAAUUGUUUUGCUUCUGUUUCUUGCUGCUCUUGAGACAAUUUAUGGGCAAAUUUUGUUACUUUUCAACUGGCCGUGUAUUUCCCUGUGAAGAGUUGCUGGAUUGUCUCAUUUUCCAGAUAAACUGAAUUAAUGUAGUAGUGAGGAGAAGCCAGAUUUCAGAGGUUUGACAAGUGAACAAAUGGGAAUGAGAAAAGAAGUAGGUACUUAAACUUUUAAGAAGUUUGGCUCUGAAAAAGGCAAGAAAUAAUGGGUUAGAGAGGGCAGGAUUGUAAGGAUUUAAGAUAGGAGAAGAGGCAUAAGCAUAUUUAAAUUUCCCUACUUAAGGGCCAAAAUCAUACUGUACCUCAGUCUGAACUUUUUAAAGGAAUUCAAGGACACAAAAUUCUGCCCUGCCCUGAAAUCCAGUCAGGAGGAAGGGAGAAGAGCUCUGAAGUACUUUUGUAAUUUUCUUCUACAUAAUAAUUGAUUUUUGUUUGAUUAUUUUUCUUUCCUAUAGCUCCUGUUUGCCAGGUUUUUCAUAGCUGCCUAUUUAACCAAACUUGUACUCCCAAGAAUAGUGCAUAUUUAUGAUUCUUAAUUCCAAAAACACAUGGCAAUGAUAAUGUCUCUGCUUCUUUUGAGAAAUUAACUUGGUUCUGAAAGAUGGUGUUUGCUUUUCACACCUGUAUCAUUAAUACUUCCUUGCCAAACCUAACUAGGAUCCUCACCACCACUGUUAGAGAAAACUGAUGCUCAGUUGAACCAGAAUGUUAAAUGUGAACAGGAUUUGUCUGUGUUGUUGCCCAGCUAUGUUUAUCCAUACACAUUACCUGGAGGAAGAGAAAUCUGAGAUAAUUGAGUUGAUUAGAUUACUUACAUGAAGAUGGUUUAAUUGUAUCAAUACAGAAAAAUGCACAAGGAAAGAAACUGACACCUUAAGGCAACAAAGCCCUCCAUAAAAAGUAACCGAAUUUUGAGAGUUACGAACUAAUGUCCAUUACCUGAAGUCCUUCUCAUUCCAUUACCCAGUAACAUAAAUCAAAUUCAGUAAAUAAGCUGCUUUAUGUCUUGAGAAAUUUAACUGGCAGAAUAAAUGGAAAGAAGUCAGUAAAAAGGGAGCAGUUGAACAAGCAUGGUGUCUCACACCAAUAACCCCAGCACUUUGGGAGGCCGAGGCAGGUGAAUCACUUGAGGUCAGAAGUUCAAGACCAACCUGGCCAACAUGGUGAAAACCCAUCUCUACUAAAAAUGCAAAAAUUAGCUGGGCUUGGUGGCAGGUGCUUGUAAUCCCAGCUACUCAGGAGGCUGAGGCAGGAGAGUCACUUAAAACCCAGGAGGCAGAGGCAGUGAGCUGAGAUCGUGCCACUGUACCCCAUCCUGGGCAACAGGACGAGGCUCCAUCUCAGGGAAAAAAAAAAAGAAAAAGCUGAGCAUGGCGGCAUGUGCCUGUAGUCUUAGCUACUCAGGAGGCUGAGGCAGGAGGAUCACUUGAGCCCAGGAGUCGUAGGUUGCAGUGGUGCCAUUGUGUUCCAGCCUGGGUAAGAGUAAGGCCCUGUUUCAGUAAAAAGAAGGGAGUAACCAAGACAGGUAGGGAUUCAGUAUAAUAAAAGUCAAAAGUAGUUGUUUAUUACUAGAGCCUGGCACUGUAACCUGGUAUGUCCAAAUGUGAUUUAAUUUGCUCUCAAGAUGUGCACCAGAAGAAAUAACCCGAGGCAUUUCAAAGAAAAAACAAAAUGUGACCUGCUAGUUCUGUUACUCUGCCACAAGUUAACACAUUUUGAACUUAAGUGCAGAGUCCCAUACAUCCAGUGUGACUCCCCAAAUCUCAAAAAUUUAGGCUAAAACCUAAUUUUGUGUCCAAGCCAGUGCCUGCUUGUUCCUGCUGAAUUUAAAACUUUGGGUCCAGCAAUCUUCUAUCGCUGGAGGGAGGGAGAGGUAUGAAAAUAAUGUUUAAUGGUAAUUGUUUAUUGUCAUGGGCCCAUAUUAUACCCAGAUUUAGAGAGCUAUUUGACACACCUGUAACCUAAUGUUUAUUUUAACUUAAUAUCUGCUCAGUCAGGUAAGAGAUGCAACUUCACAGAGGUCCAUUUAACGUGCCUAAACCUAAGUAGAAACACAAAAGCUAUGUAUAGUCCCUUGUUUGAGAUAACACUAAAUUUUUAGAGAAUAGCUUGGUACUGUGGUAGACAGAGUUCACUUAAAAUGCAUUUAACAAUUUACAGAUAACUGGAAAGUAAUUCAUUCAUCUUAGAACCCUGGUAGGGACAUUCUAUUAAAAUAUUUGUGUACUAGUUAAAGUCAAAAUAGAAAUACAGCCUAUCACACGGUAUUUAUACUAUGCAUUAUGAUUAAUAAAGCCACCUAAGGUCGUUACUCCAUGAUCAUGGGAAGUUGUUAGUCAUUAAGAGUUCGGGUUUAGCAACAAAAAUCUUGCGUUUGAAUCUAAACACAUUACAUGAUUUUAAGCAUGUUCAUCAUUCUGAGAUUAAAUAAAAAUUAAGGAAAUAUAUGAAAAAUGCUUAAUAAGUACCCAAAAGGUAAUAUGGUGUAGCAACUUAGAAUGUAGACUUCAGAGCCAGUCAGCUAGGAUUAAAAUGACACUUCGGCCAAUCACUGUUGACUAUAAGCAAGUUAUUUAACUCUGCCUCAGUUUUGUCUGUGAAGUAGGGAUAAAAUCUUCCUCGCUAGGUUGCUAUAAGAAUUAAAUGGAUAUAUUAAGUACUAUCAUGUGAGAUCACUUUAUUUGAGGCUAAAAAAAUUUUUUUUAACUAGGAUUCACUGAAAAUACAUCUAUAAAAAAGCCACUCUUUAUCAUGAGAAGUAUGAUUUUCUGUACCUUAGGUGUUAUAAAGCAAUAUCCCCUCAGUUUUAACUUUACCAAAAUACCUGUCUUAGUAAAUGAUACUAUAUAUACCAAAUAUUGCAUAUGUGUAUAUAAACUUCAACUGUCUACUUCUAUCACUGACAGUUUAAAAAUUGAGAUAAAGUAAGUAUUAUCUGAGUAAUAUAACCAUUUUCUAUUUAUUUAUUUAUUUAGAAACAGUCUCACUCUGUCACCCAGGCUGGAGUGCAAUGGCUCGGUCUCAGCUCACUGCAACCUCCGCCUCCUGGAUUCAGGCAGUUCCCCCACCCCACCCUCCCGAGUAGCAGAGACGGGGUUUCACUGUGUUGGCCAGGCUGGUCUCGAACUCCUGACCUUGUGGUCUGCCCGCCUCGGCCCCCCAAAGUGCUGGGAUUACAGGCGUGAGCCACCGCACCCAGCCAAUCUAACCAUUUUCAAGAUUUGAUCUGCAAAUACCUGAAAUUUUGCACUAGCAAAGUGCACUGUUUCAGACAAUCAAGGAAAUAAAACAUUUCUUGAUGAAAUCCUACCUCGCCUCAACAGGAAACUGAAUUGGAGUCCUCAAUUCUCAGUACAUCAGAACUAGUGUGUGAAAGGAUCAGGAGAGGACCAUAGUAUUGGAGAAUAAAACAUUAUGUAUUGAUGGUUGAGCUUUAUGUCAUCGUGUAGUAAAUGCUAUGACCAUAAAGCCAUUACUGUUAACACUUAAGUUUAUCUUCUGAAAGAAGCCUAUGAAAUAUCUCCAGAAAGACUAGGGGAUUUUCUUCUGUUUGUUUGUUUGUUUGUUUGAGAUGGAGUUUGCUCUGUUGCUCAGGCUGGAGUACAGUGGUGCGAUCUCGGCUCACUGCAACCUCUGCCUCCCAGGUUCAAGUCAUUCUCCUGCCUCAGCCUCUGGAGUAGCCAGGACUACGCACUGCGCCACCACACCCAGCUAAUUUUGUAUUUUUGGUGCAGACAGGGUUUCCCCAUGUUGGCCAGGCUGGUCUUGAACUCCUGGCCUCAAGUGAUCCGCCCACCUCGGCCCAAAGUGCUGGCCACCGCGCCCAGUCAGACUUGUUUUUUAGUGAAAUAAAUUGUUUUCCUUUAGGACCUUAUUCUUUAUGAUAACAGAUUCCAAGAAUAUGCAGUCUUGUCAAUGGCUGUUUCAUCCUCAGUUUCUUUAAAAAUAAAAUACAAUUAGAACAUUUUUAGAUAUGCUAUAUCUAUCCAAUCUAUUUUCCUGUCACCCAGUAAGGUUUUCUAUCAUCAGCACAGGUCUAUGAAAGGACAGUAAAGGGUCUCCUGUUACAUACCCUAGCACUAAUGUUUGUAAUAGAAUGUUAAGAUAAGUUGUUUCAUGUAAUCGGACUACAUUCAGUCUUUCUCUACCCUCUGUCCUCUAUUUACCCACCUAUGCAUGUGGCCUACUAAUUAUAUUGACUGUACAUGACCAGCAAGUUGUAAGUUCUUUUAAAAGCAGGAGCUCAACCAUAUUUGUAUUCACAUUUCCUUCUGCUUAAAACAGGGCUCUUGUUUCUUCAGUAAAUAUUCAUUCGGUAUCCACUAGGUGUCAGAUAAUAUACAAGGUAGGUUCUAGGGAUUCCAAGAUAAAUAAACACAGAUAUGCCAAUAUGAGUCUGACAGUUUUGGCGGGGAGAGGUGGAAAAUAGAUCUGCAAGCCAAAAAAGCUACAGUAGAAUAAUAUAAAUAUUGUAAUGGCAAUAAAAUACCAGAACUAUUAAUUUUACAUUUAGUAAUCAUUCAGUAUCAAUUAAAUGGGUAAAAUGGAUAUGUUGGCAUGAAUGACAUAUAACUGAAAAAACACUAAGAACUGUAUAGAAACUGAAUUAGACAUAUGAGUAAUAUUAGUAGGAAGGGGAGAGAAUAUUUGAUUCCAGGUAGGCUACCAAGCAGGAUGUUUUUUCAGCACAGCCUUGGAAUAAAAUCUGUAACCUUUGAAAACAAUCACAUUUUUGUUCUUAUGCAAUCUUUGUUUUUAAAUGUAUUUAUUGUUUUGGCUCUAGUCCCUGAAUGUUAAAAUUUUAGUGUCAGUGUUAAUUCUCACUUAUCUUCUCCAGACCUUACUCCCUAAUUUUCUCAUUUUCAUUUGCCCCAAUAAGUGCCAACCUUACCUUGAAUAGAAUAGUGGAUUUAUCAGCUUACAAGGACUAAAAAGUCGUCAUUUCCAAAAACAUCUGUCCAAUAAGUCUGCCUCAGUGACUACAUUUCUAGCAUUACAAUGUCAUUCUUAGUACACUGAUUUGAUCUUUACAAAUUACAUAAAUGUAUAAAAUUGUCGCAUGUACCCUAAAUUAUAUACAUCUAUUAUGUAUGUAUCAAUAAAAAAAUAAUUUUCUGUGCUUUUUCUCCUGUUAAAAAGAAUUCUUUUCUUUUUGAGACAGGGCCUGGCUCUGUCACCCAGGCUGGAGUGCAGUGGUGCAAUCUUGGCUCACUGCAGCCCCUGCCUCCCAGGCUGAAGUGAUCCUCCCACCUCAGCCUCCUGAGUAGUUGGGACUACAGAUGGGUACCACCAUGCCUGGCUAAGUUUUUGUAGAGACAGGGUUUUGCCAUGUUGUCCAGGCUGGUCUCAAACUCCUGAGCUCCAGCAGUCUUCCUGGCUUGGCUUCCCAAAGCGCUGGGAUUACAGGUGUGAGCCACCACACCCAGCUGAUUCUUUAGAAGACCAGUAUUGCAUUGUGAUUGCCUCUGGGCAGGAAAACUAAGGGGCAUCAGUAGACUAUGCAAUUACUUUCUUCCUCUUUAAAAAAGUAUUGUUAAUUUUUAAAUUUACAUAUUUUGGUAUACAAUUCUAUGAGUUUUGACAAAUGCAAAGAAUCAUAUAACCACCGCCAUAAUUGAGAUACUAAACAAUUCUAUCACCUCAAAAAAAAUCCUCUUGAGCUGUCUCAUUUAUAAUUUUUGUGAUUAAAAAUGGUUAUUUUUCAAAAAGUAACGUUUGGGCCAGUGCGCCUGGAGUGCACCAGUAGUCCCAGCUACUAGGGAGGCUGAGGCAGGAGAAUUGCUUGAACCCGGGAGGUGGCGAUUGCAAUCAGCUGAGAUCACACCACUGCACUCCACCCUGUGAGUGGGCUACAGAGUGACACUCUGUCUAAAAACAAAAACAAAAAAACACUUUAAAUGUUUCAUAUAGUUAUUCCUUAUUCAAAAAGUAUGCCUUUUUGGGUUAAGACAGUGCCAUUUCAAAUAGCCUUGUAGAAAUAUAAGCAAGGAAAUGCUAAAUUAUACCAUUAUUGAUCAUUAGUACCUUAGCUUGUAGUUUAAACUGUUGAAGAGAAUUAGGACUCCACCUGGCAUUGUGGCAUAAGCCAGUAGUCCCAGCUACCCAGGAGGCUGAGGCCUGAGCUCAGGAGUUCAAGACUAGACUGAGCACAUAGCGAGAUCUUGUCUCAAAAAAUGAAAGAAAAAGAAUUAGGACUCAGAAAAGGUAAAGGGUGUGUGUGUUUGAUUAGAUAGAGGAUGGGAUUGAAGGCUUAAGGAGGAGAUUAGGGCCUGAGAUGGAACAAUGCGCAUGGAAGGAUAGAUAUGGGUAGUGUGUUCUGAGUAAUAUAAGAGACCUAGAUUCUCAAAGAUAGAGGGCACCAAAGAGAUGAGUCCUGUAGAGGGGUGACCUUCAUGUAAAAAAUGAUCUAUCUUAAUUGGGAGCUACAGACCUGGGAUUCUGUACUGAACUUAUACAGAAUAAGUAAUUUACUCUUCAAAAGUCGCUUCCCCAGCUGGGCGCAGUGGCUCAUGGCUGUAAUCCCAACACUUUGGAAGGCUGAGGCAGGUGGAUCACCUGAGGUGAAACCCCGUCUCUACUAAAAAUAAAAAAAAAGUAGCCAGGCAUGGUGGUGGGUGCCUGUAAUCCCGGCUACUCGGGAGGCUGAGGCAGGAGAAUUGCUCGAAACCAAGAGGCAGAGGUCGCAGUGAGCUGAGAUGGUGCCAUUGCACUCCAGCCUGGGCGACAAAUGCAAAAACUGCAUCUAAAGAAAAAAAAAAAAAGUCACUACGCCUUUCUGGGCCUCAAUUUCAUAAUCUGUAAAAUAGUAAGGUUGGACUGAGUAUAUACCAAGGUCCAUUUCAGAGUUCUCCAGCUAGAAGCAAAACCCUUGUGUGUAUGUGUUAGUUUUUUUCCCCUAAGGUUUUGUCCUCUAGUUUUAACUAGAGAGACACAUUUGGGAUAUUAAUAACCGAAUUCUAGCAAGCAUUAUGAUCUCUUCAGAUUUCAUGUAGUUUGAUGUCAGAAGCUGCAUAGCAAAGUUAAGCCUGAUCUGAAUUGGCUUCAAGUGGAUAGAGCUGUAUGACCCUCAGUCUUCUCAUGUAUAGAAUGACUUAUAUACUCUAAACUUCCUUGUAGUUUUCAUAUUUCAUGACUAUGAAACCUGUGAAAACUUACCAGUGUUUUUUCUAUUCAUACUUCCUUUGAGUCUGCAGCUGCUGUUCUUCUGAUUUGAUUUUUUUGUUGUUUAUUUUUAUUAGCCACUAUUCAUUCAGUACCUUUUAUAUGUCAAAACGUUUGAUAUUUAACCUACGUUAUUUAAGGGCUUUUGUACUGCUGCUGUACUUUAUAGGUGCAUAGAUAUGGUAAAAUCACACCAUGCCUCCUGCUCUGACUCUGGAUAACAUAUUCCUACAGCAGGAUCUCAUUUCAAUAAAAAUUAAAAGAAACACUAGAGAGAGGAAGAAGGGGAGAAGAUAAAUGUGGCUUUAAAUUGAUAAGUGAAAGGCAAGGAACUAACAUUUGAGGAUCUACUAUGUGUUAGACACUUUAUAACAUGGAUCUUCUUUAGAUCAUUGAGAUAAGCAGGUAGAAAGACAUCACAAAGGGAGUCUGCUUGUAUUGAUAGCAAGAAGAAAAAAAUGACUUCAUGCCAUAAAUCACUGGAAUUAUUCAGAAUUUUUGUUUUGCAUGUUAUCCUCCAUUAUGAGGACAAAGACAGCAUAAUGUCUCUAUGUAGUAAGUGUUUGGUGAAUGUUUAUUGAAUAAGUAGGGAUUUUUAUCAUGCAUAUAGUAGUGUUUCUUAAUGUUUUGGAUCCAUGGACUUAUAAAAAUUUUAUAAAAGCUAUGGCUACAUCCAGGAUGUUACCUCCCUCCCCUGCCACACACAAAAGGAAACAGCCAAGUCCCUCCCCUCACUCUAACCAUUCCCACAUCUAUAUUUGUGUAAAACCCAUGAUUUUAAACUGUUUGCAGCCCCUCUGUAAUCCAUUCACAUGACCCAAGAACUCAGCCCUGGAAACAUCUCUGGGUAUCCAGGUAGACUAAAAGCAUAGUUCCAUUAAUUUAUAGUGCUAUAUGGUUCUGCCAUGCUUUAUUGGUCCUUUAUAGACUUGAGAAAAUCACACCAUGCCUCUUGACCAUUAACAAAUGGUCAUGUUCAGUCUUCCUUUUUAUGAGUGGAAAUUCCAUCCAAUUUGCUUUUAGGUUCAUUAAUAUGUACUACAACCAAAAGAUCAGCAGCAUUAUAUACUUUAUCUUUUUUAGUCUUUUGAAGUACAAAUUAUGCGAUUUUACAGAUAAAUUAUCUCAUGGGUAGCAUAUGUCUGGCUUUCUAGGUGGAAUGAUUCCUAUUUCUUUUUGUACCUCUCCCCAUUCAGAACUCACUUUGAGGCCAAGCGUGGUUGCUCAGGCCUGUAAUCCCAGCACUUUGGGAGGCCGAGGCAGGUGGAUCACCUGAGGUCAGGAGUUGGAGACCAGCCUGGCCAACACGACAAACCCCGUCUCUACUAAAAAUACAAAAAUUAGCCUGGCAUGGUGGCACACACCUGUAAUUCCAGCUGCUCGGGAGGCUGAAGCAUGAGAAUCACUUGAACCUGGGAGGCAGAGGUUGCAGUGAGCCAAGGUUGCAGUGGAUCAAGAUCACACCACUGCACUCCAGCCUGGGCAAUAGAGUGAGACUCUGUCUCAAGAAGAAGAAAAAGAAAAAAAACUCACUUUAAACUCUGCUAGACCAUUGCCCUUGUAUGUGAAAUUUUAUCUGGAUAGAAGAAGAUGAGGAAAAAAAUUUUCUUGUCUUUUAGUGGAGGAGAAUGACAUGUAAAACAAGUAUUCUUUAAAAAUUCCAAAUAUGAUAUGAGAACUACCCCAUAAAGUUGUGAAGGUCACAUUGGUGAAAGGAAAACUAAGUGCUGUGUAAAUUACAAAGUUGUCUAAGUAUCCACCUGGUCCUUACCUUGCUAUAGAAUCUUUUUUUUUUUUAGACGGAGUCUAGCUCUGUCGCCCAGGCUGGAGUGCAGUGGCGCAAGCUCCGCUUACUGCAAGCUCCGCCUCCUGGGUUCAUGCCAUUCUCCUGCCUCAACCGCCCGAGUAGCUGGGAUUACAGGUGCCCACCACCACGCCCAGCUAAUUUUUUUUUUUUUUUUGUAUUUUUAGUAGAGACGGGGUUUUCCCAUGUUAGCCAGGAUGGUCUUGAUCUCCUGACCUCGUGAUCUGCCCACCUCGGCCUCCCAAGGUGCUGGGAUUACAGGUGUGAGCCACCACGCCCAGCCUACCUUGCUAUAGAAUCUUUAGGCCUAAUAUAGUCUAGCCAGAACAGCUAUUUGGAUGCUUGCCUAAUCUUCAAUACUGGUUUCCCUUUUAUACAUGACUGCAAAACUGACUCUCACCUAGGUUUGUGAUGUUAGAAACUCCAGUUGUUUACUAUUAUUAUUAAAGUGGGAAACGGAGUUCGUUGAUCAAAUGGAUUAAUGUUUUGAGUACUUACUAUACACCAGGGGCUCUUAAAUUUUUACAUAAACUUUCUGGAUGGAGAGUGAUAGAAUCUCCAUUGUUCACUUGCCACAAGCCACACCAUUUGUAGCUAACAUUUGAAUGCUUACUAUGAGCAAAGGCACUGUUCCAAGGGCAUUACAUGCACAUCAUUCAUAUUUCUCAUUUAAUCUUUAUAACAACUCCUUAAAAUACUGGUAGUAUUCUUGUUCCCUAAUUUGUCAAUAAGAAAACUGAAAUUUAGAGAUUAUACAAUUUGCCCAGCACUAUUGGAAAGCUGGGACUUUGAAACCUGGCUGAUUUGACUCCAAAGUCUGCACUCUAUUCCAACAGACUGCCAGUGCCUCCAGAAUUAAUUAGCAUUAAUAUUUUCUGUUGUUUAUGAUCUAAGUAUGGCUGUCCAUGGCAGGGAGUUAAUGAGGGAGGCAUUAAUGGGGAAACACUGGACCACUUCUGAGAGAUGUGGUGCCCUCCCUCACAAACAGGUUUCUUGUGGUGAAAUCAGGUUGGAAGGAUAAGAGAGGCUGAAGAAGGUGGAGGUGGUGUAGUUGGGCCUGUUUAGGAACUGAUUACAUCUGAGCCUCUGGCCCUUUUUCCUGCCAGCUGACUCAGAGCUGGCAGAUGGGCCAAAGUCCAGGCAGGUUGAUUUCAUGGGCUGUAUACUUCAAAGGAUCUGAUUCCUGGUGCUACUAAGCACAUUGCUUUUCCGAAGGCACAGUCUUGUGGGGGAGGGAACAGGAUGGUCUCCAUGAGGUGUUUGUGAAAGCCCUAGGCAAUGUUUGCUCUAAUCCAAAUAUAUACAGCUUGUUUUGAGUUUGGCAAUAAAACACAGAGCCAGCCCUAAGCAGGGCUGAAAACUGAGUAUUUAAACCUUAAGUAUUCUGCAAUACAACAACAGUUAAGUAUAUGGGUCCUAGAGUCAGAUAGAACUGAAAUCUAAUCUUGACUUCACCACUCAGCUGUAGAUAAAUUACUAGACCUCAGUUUUCUUGUUCGUGAAAUGGGGAUUUUAGUUAUAGAGUACCUACUUCAUAUGGUUGUCGUGAGGAUUAAACAAAAAUGUAUACCACAGUACCUGAGAUGUAGUAAACACUCUUGAAACAUUAGUCAUUAUUCAUUUUUUAAAUUUUUCCUUCAAAUACUUUCCUAUCCAAUAGUCAUUAUUCAUUGAAAACUUCUAUUUUAUAAGACGAUCUCAGCACUUAAACAAAAUAAAUUGAUUCAUCAUGUUUUCACUUAACAGGCAUUCAAAAGGCAUUUAUUAUUGUGUUGGGUAGAUGGAUGGAGAAAAUAGCAAUAAUUUUUGUUGAACACCUAAAAUGAGCCAAACUUUUUAAAAAAUAUUGUCUCAUUUUAUGCUCACAACAGCUCUAUGAAGUAUUUUCCUAUAUUAUAGAUGAGAUCAUGGGCCAAGAGAGGAUUAGCAACAUGCCUAAGAUCAUAUAGUCAGCACUGUCUAAUUCUGAAGCCUAUGAAUAAGGUAGCAUUUAUCCCCACGGAAGCAUGGUAUUCAGCAGGCAGGCAGACACAUAAACAAGUACAGCUGGCCCAUCUAGCCUCACGUUCUGCAUCCAUGGAUUCAACCAAAAAUGGAUUUAAAAUAUUGGGGAAAAAACAAAUAAUAAAACAACUAAAAAAUACAAAUUUUAAAAUAUAGUAUAACAACUACUUACAUAGCUUUUACAUUGUAUUAGGUAUUAUAAGUAAUGUAGAGAUGGUUUAAAGUAUACAAGAGAGUCUGGACACAGUGGCUUAUGCCUGUAAUCCCAGCUUUUUGGGAGGCCAAGGUGGGUGGAUCCCUUGAGCCCAGGAGUUUGAGACCAGCCUGAGCAACAAGAUGAAACCCUGUCUCUACAAAAAAUACAAAAAUUAGCCAGAUGUGUUGGUGCAUGCCUGUGGUCCCAGCUACUCGGGAGAGUGAGGUGGGAGAAUCACUUGAGCCUCAGAGAUCGAGGCUGCAGUAAGCUGUAAUCACGCCACUGCACUCCAGCCUGGGUGACAGAGUAAGACCCUGUCUCAAAAGUAAUAAUAAUAAUAAAGUAUACAAGAGGAUGUCAUAUGUUAUAUGCAAAUAUUAUACCUUUUUUUUUUUUUUUUUUUGAGACAGUCUCUUGCUCUGUUGCCCAGGCUGGAGUAGAGUGGUGCUAUCAUAGCUGACUGUAACCUCGAACUCUUUCCUGAACUUGAGUGAUCUUCCUGCUUCAGCCUCCCAAGUAGCUGAGACUACAGGCAUGUGCCAUCACAUCCAGCUAAUUUUUAAUUUUUAAUUUUUUUUGUAGAGAUGGGGUCUCACUGUGGUGCCCAGGCUGUUAUGCCAUUUUAUAUAAGGGACUUGAACAUCUGCAGAUUUCAAGGGGAAAGAGUUUGAGGUUACAGUCAGCUAUGAUAGCACCACUCUACUCCAGCCUGGGCAACAGAGCCAGAGACUGUCUCAAAAAAAAAAAAAAAAAGAGGAGAGUCCUGGAACCAACUCCCCACAGUUAUGGAGGAAGGACUGUACCUACAGUCAAAGUGCUGUCGUUGAGUUUUACACUAGGUGCUUGGGAGAACAGAAUGGAAUAGGUGAACUCUGGGCAUGAAGUGAAGGUAGUCCCCUUCACAGGAAUAAAUGCUAAUAAUGGGGCUUCAGGUGAGAAUGAGGAAGGAAGCCUUUGCUGGUGGAGGAGUUAAGGGAGUUCUUUCUGGGUUUCCCUAAGUCACACUAGAAGAAAAGGGUUACAGGGAGGCCUUUCUGGAAUUCCUCAAGUCAAUAUGACAGCCUCUUAGAUCCAGCAUUACAACUGCAGCAAAUUUUAUAGCUGCAAACAAAGAAACUGUCUCCAGAGAGACAGAUUAUGUUGUUUACUUGAGGCAAAAUGGUGGGGGUUCUAUAUAAAUGAUAUGUCUGCAUCCGAAUCAUCUGUACCUUUUUGGGCUUUAGAACCAAACCUAAUAGUAAUAAUAGCAACCAAUUCUUAACUGCAUGAUCAUUAGGUACUAAUCACUGCUAUGUUCACAGGCUAGAACUCUCAACUGGAGAAAGGUAGAGUUGUUUGUCUAAAUCAAUAAUCUCAAAUUAAGUACACUUAAUUUGAGCAUAUACCCCCAAUAUAUGUAUAUUACUUUAUAAGUUAUACACAUCCACUAUUGGGCUAAUAUAAAAUAUACAUUAUGAAAUGUAAACAAAAAGUUUGAAGGAAUACAAUGAAAAUGAAUAAACUUUUAUCUCAGGGAAAAUAUAUACUUAGGUUUCUGUAUCUUGUUAUUAAGUGGAUACAAAUUAAUACUGUAUUUCAAAUAGAUUUUUUAAUAGUUUUGGAUGUUUUGAGUCAGCUGGUCAGAUUUUGUUAAUCAUUGUAUUUAACUUCAUAAUGUGACUGAUGAAGGGAUCAUACUAAGUAAAAGUGUCAGUUCUGCCAUUUGAGAGUGGGGGAUCCUAUGUAUCAUCUUCAAUUCACAGGGUUUUCUUUUUCCCAGCAAUUUUUUAAAACCAAUUAUUCACUUUGUAAUAUUUCAUUUUGUUAAAGUUAGAUUUUAAAAAUCCAUAAAUCCCCUUUUGAACCACAAUAUGUCACUAAUGCUCAAAGAAAGAAACUCCAUUUGUAUCUCAUCUGAUGUGAGCGUCAAAUAUAGAAACAAUGUGGGGAUGCCAACCUCAAUCCAUAUGGAUGAAUAGGGCUUAAUUUUCUCAUGAUAAACCUAAGUAGAAGCUAUGAAAAUUCUUACCACACUUCAGUGAAUUAUCUUGUAUACCUCUAGAGUGAGCACAUUCCACUUUGGAGAUCAGUAGUCUCAGCAACAAGACCUGUGGCCAUAAAGUGGGAAUAAACAAUCCAAUUUUUAGCAAUGCUUGGCCCAGAUUCACUUAUGAGUGACAUGAGAAAGGUACAACAUGAUAUUCCAGGAAAUCAGAAGAGCUAAGUAUAUCUGAACCUUUGAGAGUAUGGCCUGUCCAUACAAAGGCAGAAUCUACAUUUGUCAAGUGCCUUCAAGAAACAUUCUACCAAGAUAUGCACCUCCACAAAAGUAAGAAAAAGAGAAAAAAAAGAUUUUAAAAUUUUAUUUUAUUUUUUUGAGAUGGAGUCUCGCUCUGUCCCCCAGGUUGGAGUGCAGUGGCGCUAUCUCAGCUCACUGCAAGCUCCGCCUCCCAGGUUCACUCCAUUCUCCUGCCUCAGCCUCCCAAGUAGCUGGGACUACAGGCGCCCACCACCACACCCGGCUAUUUUUUUUUUUUUGUAUUUUUAGUAGAGACGGGGUUUCACCGUGUUAGCCAGGAUGGUCUCAAUCUCCUGACCUCGUGAUCCACCCACCUUGGCCUCCCAAAGUGCUGGGAUUACAGGCGUGAGCCACCGCACCUGGCCUUUAAAAUUUUAUUUUUAAAAAAUCACACACACACAAAAUACAUUCUACUUUUUAAGAAAAUUGACUUAGAUUUAAUCCCAGCUCUGCUAUUUGCUAACCAUGCAAUUUUGGGAAAGUAACGACCUAUUGGAGCCUGUUUCCCAUCUCCAAAGUGAGAAUGAUUAAUGCUAUACCUACUUCACUGAGAAGAAGAGUGUAUCAUGGUCAUAUUGACCCCUCACUAUGUGCAUAGAGAUGCUGAGCUAAACUCUUUACAAGCGUUUAUUUAAUCCUCAAUAUACCAGUGACUAGAGGCUAAGCAGUUUACCAAAGCAUUUUCCUUUCCCUCCUUAGCACACAGGACUAUAUUUCCUGGCCUCCUUUGCAGUUAGGUGCAGCCACAUUACUGUGUUCUAGCCAUUGAAAUAUGGAAAGAAAUGAUCAAUACUACCUCCAGCCCUGGCCCAUAAAACUUUCCUUUCCAUUCUUCGUGCUCUCAUUCUUCCUUCAUCUGCCGGAGGAUUCAGCAGAACCAUUAGGUGCACAGAGCUCUUCUCUCCUCCCACUACUUCCAACGUGCAUUGAACUGUGAUGUGAGCCAGAAAUAAACUCUUAUUGUGUUAAAU